UACUGGACCCUGAAUUGGAAAC
rnacentral:miRNA from 1 species